rnacentral:rRNA from 1 species
GGCUCAGAUUGAACGCUGGCGGCAUGCCUUACACAUGCAAGUCGAACGGUAACAGGUCUUCGGAUGCUGACGAGUGGCGAACGGGUGAGUAAUACAUCGGAACGUGCCCGAUCGUGGGGGAUAACGCAGCGAAAGCUGCGCUAAUACCGCAUACGCCCUGAGGGGGAAAGCGGGGGACCGUAAGGCCUCGCGCGAUUAGAGCGGCCGAUAUCUGAUUAGCUUGUUGGUGGGGUAAAAGCCCACCAAGGCGACGAUCGGUAGCUGGUCUGAGAGGACGAUCAGCCACACUGGGACUGAGACACGGCCCAGACUCCUACGGGAGGCAGCAGUGGGGAAUUUUGGACAAUGGGGGCAACCCUGAUCCAGCAAUGCCGCGUGAGUGAAGAAGGCCUUCGGGUUGUAAAGCUCUUUUGUCAGGGAAGAAACAGCAGCUCUAACACAGUCUGCGAAUGACGGUACCUGAAGAAUAAGCACCGGCUAACUACGUG